AGGGGAUCUGUUAGAGCAAUCGAAGCAGUGAACUUAAGCCCCAGUAAACGGCGGCCGUAACUAUAACGGGCCUAAGGUAGCGAAAUUCCUUGUCGGGUAAGUUCCGACCCGCACGAAAGGCGUAACGAUUUGGGCACUGUCUCAACAACAGACUCGGUGAAAUUGUAAUUCCGGUGAAGAUGCCGGAUACCUGCGACAGGACGGAAAGACCCCAUGGAGCUUUACUGUAGCUUGACAUUGGGUCUU
rnacentral:rRNA from 1 species